GACAGAGGUGCCGAGCGUUAGGCGGAAUCACUGGGCUUAAAGCGUGUGUAGGCGGAUUCCUAAGUACCUUGUGAAAUCCCACGGCUUAACCGUGGAACUGCUUGGUAUACUGGGUGUCUUGAGCCAACUAGAGGCAGUCGGAACAAACGGUGGAGCGGUGAAAUGCGUAGAUAUCAGGAAGAACACCCGUGGCUAAGGCGGCUCUCUAGUACGGUACUGACGCUGAGACGCGAAAGCGUGGGGAGCGAACAGG
rnacentral:rRNA from 1 species